rnacentral:rRNA from 1 species
GACGAACGCUGGCGGCGUGCUUAAAACAUGCAAGUCGAACGAUGAAGCCGGAGCUUGCUCCGGUGGAUUAGUGGCGAACGGGUGAGUAACACGUGAGCAAUCUGCCCGUGACUCUGGGAUAACUUCGGGAAACUGUAGCUAAUACCGGAUACGACACCUUGGGGCAUCCCAGGGUGUGGAAAGAAUGUCGGUCAAGGAUGAGCUCGCGGCGUAUCAGCUAGUUGGUGAGGUGAUGGCUCACCAAGGCGACGACUGGGAGCCGGCCUGAGAGGGUGACCGGCCACACUGGAACUGAGACACGGUCCAGACUCCUACGGGUGGCAGCAGUGGGGAAUAUUGCACAAUGGGCGAAAGCCUGAUGCAGCAACGCCGCGUGAGGGAUGAAGGCCUUCGGGUUGUAAACCUCUUUUAGCAGGGAAGAAGCGAAAGUGACGGUACCUGCAGAAAAAGCACCGGCUAACUACGUGCAGCCGCCGCGGUAA